rnacentral:rRNA from 1 species
GGGUUGUGAGGUUAAGCGACUAAGCGUACACGGUGGAUGCCCUGGCAGUCAGAGGCGAUGAAGGACGUGCUAAUCUGCGAUAAGCGUCGGUAAGGUGAUAUGAACCGUUAUAACCGGCGAUUUCCGAAUGGGGAAACCCAGUGUGAUUCGUCACACUAUCAUUAACUGAAUCCAUAGGUUAAUGAGGCGAACCGGGGGAACUGAAACAUCUAAGUACCCCGAGGAAAAGAAAUCAACCGAGAUUCCCCCAGUAGCGGCGAGCGAACGGGGAGCAGCCCAGAGCCUGAAUCAGUGUGUGUGUUAGUGGAAGCGUCUGGAAAGGCGCGCGAUACAGGGUGACAGCCCCGUACACAAAAAUGCACAUGCUGUGAGCUCGAUGAGUAGGGCGGGACACGUGGUAUCCUGUCUGAAUAUGGGGGGACCAUCCUCCAAGGCUAAAUACUCCUGACUGACCGAUAGUGAACCAGUACCGUGAGGGAAAGGCGAAAAGAACCCCGGCGAGGGGAGUGAAAAAGAACCUGAAACCGUGUACGUACAAGCAGUGGGAGCACAGAGCAAUCUGUGUGACUGCGUACCUUUUGUAUAAUGGGUCAGCGACUUAUAUUCUGUAGCAAGGUUAACCGAAUAGGGGAGCCGAAGGGAAACCGAGUCUUAACUGGGCGUUAAGUUGCAGGGUAUAGACCCGAAACCCGGUGAUCUAGCCAUGGGCAGGUUGAAGGUUGGGUAACACUAACUGGAGGACCGAACCGACUAAUGUUGAAAAAUUAGCGGAUGACUUGUGGCUGGGGGUGAAAGGCCAAUCAAACCGGGAGAUAGCUGGUUCUCCCCGAAAGCUAUUUAGGUAGCGCCUCGUGAAUUCAUCUCCGGGGGUAGAGCACUGUUUCGGCAAGGGGGUCAUCCCGACUUACCAACCCGAUGCAAACUGCGAAUACCGGAGAAUGUUAUCACGGGAGACACACGGCGGGUGCUAACGUCCGUCGUGAAGAGGGAAACAACCCAGACCGCCAGCUAAGGUCCCAAAGUCAUGGUUAAGUGGGAAACGAUGUGGGAAGGCCCAGACAGCCAGGAUGUUGGCUUAGAAGCAGCCAUCAUUUAAAGAAAGCGUAAUAGCUCACUGGUCGAGUCGGCCUGCGCGGAAGAUGUAACGGGGCUAAACCAUGCACCGAAGCUGCGGCAGCGACGCUUAUGCGUUGUUGGGUAGGGGAGCGUUCUGUAAGCCUGCGAAGGUGUGCUGUGAGGCAUGCUGGAGGUAUCAGAAGUGCGAAUGCUGACAUAAGUAACGAUAAAGCGGGUGAAAAGCCCGCUCGCCGGAAGACCAAGGGUUCCUGUCCAACGUUAAUCGGGGCAGGGUGAGUCGACCCCUAAGGCGAGGCCGAAAGGCGUAGUCGAUGGGAAACAGGUUAAUAUUCCUGUACUUGGUGUUACUGCGAAGGGGGGACGGAGAAGGCUAUGUUGGCCGGGCGACGGUUGUCCCGGUUUAAGCGUGUAGGCUGGUUUUCCAGGCAAAUCCGGAAAAUCAAGGCUGAGGCGUGAUGACGAGGCACUACGGUGCUGAAGCAACAAAUGCCCUGCUUCCAGGAAAAGCCUCUAAGCAUCAGGUAACAUCAAAUCGUACCCCAAACCGACACAGGUGGUCAGGUAGAGAAUACCAAGGCGCUUGAGAGAACUCGGGUGAAGGAACUAGGCAAAAUGGUGCCGUAACUUCGGGAGAAGGCACGCUGAUAUGUAGGUGAAGCGACUUGCUCGUGGAGCUGAAAUCAGUCGAAGAUACCAGCUGGCUGCAACUGUUUAUUAAAAACACAGCACUGUGCAAACACGAAAGUGGACGUAUACGGUGUGACGCCUGCCCGGUGCCGGAAGGUUAAUUGAUGGGGUUAGCGCAAGCGAAGCUCUUGAUCGAAGCCCCGGUAAACGGCGGCCGUAACUAUAACGGUCCUAAGGUAGCGAAAUUCCUUGUCGGGUAAGUUCCGACCUGCACGAAUGGCGUAAUGAUGGCCAGGCUGUCUCCACCCGAGACUCAGUGAAAUUGAACUCGCUGUGAAGAUGCAGUGUACCCGCGGCAAGACGGAAAGACCCCGUGAACCUUUACUAUAGCUUGACACUGAACAUUGAGCCUUGAUGUGUAGGAUAGGUGGGAGGCUUGGAAGUGUGGACGCCAGUCUGCAUGGAGCCGACCUUGAAAUACCACCCUUUAAUGUUUGAUGUUCUAACGUUGACCCGUAAUCCGGGUUGCGGACAGUGUCUGGUGGGUAGUUUGACUGGGGCGGUCUCCUCCUAAAGAGUAACGGAGGAGCACGAAGGUUGGCUAAUCCUGGUCGGACAUCAGGAGGUUAGUGCAAUGGCAUAAGCCAGCUUGACUGCGAGCGUGACGGCGCGAGCAGGUGCGAAAGCAGGUCAUAGUGAUCCGGUGGUUCUGAAUGGAAGGGCCAUCGCUCAACGGAUAAAAGGUACUCCGGGGAUAACAGGCUGAUACCGCCCAAGAGUUCAUAUCGACGGCGGUGUUUGGCACCUCGAUGUCGGCUCAUCACAUCCUGGGGCUGAAGUAGGUCCCAAGGGUAUGGCUGUUCGCCAUUUAAAGUGGUACGCGAGCUGGGUUUAGAACGUCGUGAGACAGUUCGGUCCCUAUCUGCCGUGGGCGCUGGAGAACUGAGGGGGGCUGCUCCUAGUACGAGAGGACCGGAGUGGACGCAUCACUGGUGUUCGGGUUGUCAUGCCAAUGGCACUGCCCGGUAGCUAAAUGCGGAAGAGAUAAGUGCUGAAAGCAUCUAAGCACGAAACUUGCCCCGAGAUGAGUUCUCCCUGACUCCUUGAGAGUCCUGAAGGAACGUUGAAGACGACGACGUUGAUAGGCCGGGUGUGUAAGCGCAGCGAUGCGUUGAGCUAACCGGUACUAAUGAACCGUGAGGCUUAACCUUACAACGCCGAAGCUGUU